CGCUAGCCAUGUUGCCUACUUUUAGAAUUCAGAGACUAAUUCUGGUCUUCUUUUUUGGCCUGUGAUGAUUCCCUGACCAUUGACUUUGAAGCAUAUGACUUGUAGUUCCUAUUCCUACAAAUAGAGCCUCAGCUACAUCAACUCCUAGUUUUGCCAGUUUCUCCAUUAGAGACUUUUCCUGCUGUUAAUUCUGUUUCAGCUGUAGGUUCCGAUCCAAGAUACUAGGGAGAAGAGUAGGCAUGAGUACUCAUUACCUUGUUGCAGAGGGAGAUCAGCAGCAGGUAUCCAGGCAUGAUCAUUUUCAAAAGCAGCUCAGCUCCAUGAAGAAAUCAUGGUCCAUCGAUUCUCUUGCAAGCCUUGCAGAAGGAGGCAAAACCUGCAUCUGUGCACCGACGAAGCACGUGGGAUCCUUCCGUUGCAGGCACCAUCGCCACUCCUCGAGCAUCAGCCUAAGCAGCCAAGCCCAGCCACCUGCACCUGCAAAACUUUCAAGCUCAUUGGAAGUUAAUGAAGCUAAGUAACAGAUAUAAAAGAGAUGUUGAUCCUUGUUAUGGUUUUAUACAGAUUGAAGAGGAUUGCUGAGAUUGGUCUGUUAAUAUUACUUACUACUUUUGAUGUGUGGAUACCGGAGAUUGUCAGUAAACUGUGAUUGCCUUAUCUGUGUAAGAAUACAUGCUUAUGUCAAAAAUAAAACAACACUUGUGUGUUAAGUUUGAA